AGUAGGUUAAGUUAGAAAGGGCGCACGGUGAAUGCCUUGGCACUAGGAGCCGAUGAAGGACGGGACUAACACCGAUAUGCUUCGGGGAGCUGUAAGUAAGCUUUGAUCCGGAGAUUUCCGAAUGGGGAAACCCCCUAUCCGUAAUGGGAUAGGAUCCAUAUCUGAAUUCAUAGGGUAUGGAAGGCAGACCCGGGGAACUGAAACAUCUAAGUACCCGGAGGAAGAGAAAGCAAACGCGAUUCCCUGAGUAGCGGCGAGCGAAACGGGAUUAGCCCAAACCAAGAGGCUUGCCUCUUGGGGUUGUAGGACACUCUAUACGGAGUUACAAAGGAACGAGGUAAAUGAACAGGUCUGGAAAGGCCGGCCAGAGAAGGUAAAAGCCCUGUAGUUGAAACUUCGUUCCCUCCAGAGUGGAUCCUGAGUACGGCGGGACACGAGAAAUCCCGUCGGAAGCAGGGAGGACCAUCUCCCAAGGCUAAAUACUCCCUAGUGACCGAUAGUGAACCAGUACCGUGAGGGAAAGGUGAAAAGCACCCCGGAAGGGGAGUGAAAGAGAUCCUGAAACCGUGUGCCUACAAGUAGUUAGAGCCCGUUAAUGGGUGAUAGCGUGCCUUUUGUAGAAUGAACCGGCGAGUUACGAUUACAUGCGAGGUUAAGUUGAUAAGACGGAGCCGCAGCGAAAGCGAGUCUGAAUAGGGCGAAUGAGUAUGUGGUCGUAGACCCGAAACCAGGUGAUCUACCCAUGUCCAGGGUGAAGUCCAGGUAACACUGGAUGGAGGCCCGAACCCACGCACGUUGAAAAGUGCGGGGAUGAGGUGUGGGUAGCGGAGAAAUUCCAAUCGAACUUGGAGAUAGCUGGUUCUCUCCGAAAUAGCUUUAGGGCUAGCCUCAUGUAGUAAGAGUCUUGGAGGUAGAGCACUGUUUGGACUAGGGGCCCUCAUCGGGUUACCGAAUUCAGACAAACUCCGAAUGCCAAAGACUUAUCCAUGGGAGUCAGACUGCGAGUGAUAAGAUCCGUAGUCAAGAGGGAAACAGCCCAGACCACCAGCUAAGGUCCCAAAGUAUACGUUAAGUGGAAAAGGAUGUGGAGUUGCUUAGACAACCAGGAUGUUGGCUUAGAAGCAGCCACCAUUUAAAGAGUGCGUAAUAGCUCACUGGUCGAGUGACUCCGCGCCGAAAAUGUACCGGGGCUAAACGUAUCACCGAAGCUGUGGAUGGACAUCUGCGAUGUCCGUGGUAGGAGAGCGUUCUAAGGGCGUUGAAGCUAGACCGCAAGGACUGGUGGAGCGCUUAGAAGUGAGAAUGCCGGUAUGAGUAGCGAAAGAUGGGUGAGAAUCCCAUCCACCGAAUGCCUAAGGUUUCCUGAGGAAGGCUCGUCCGCUCAGGGUUAGUCGGGACCUAAGCCGAGGCUGAAAAGCGUAGGCGAUGGACAACAGGUUGAUAUUCCUGUACCACCUCUUUACCGUUUGAGCAAUGGGGGGACGCAGGAGGAUAGGGUAAGCGCGCUGUUGGAUAUGCGCGUCCAAGCAGUUAGGCCGGUAACGAGGCAAAUCCCGUUACCACACAGGCUGAGCUGUGACGGCGAGGGAAAUUUAGUACCGAAGUUCCUGAUUCCACACUGCCAAGAAAAGCCUCUAGCGAGGGAAAAGGUGCCCGUACCGCAAACCGACACAGGUAGGCGAGGAGAGAAUCCUAAGGUGAGCGAGAGAACUCUCGUUAAGGAACUCGGCAAAAUGACCCCGUAACUUCGGGAGAAGGGGUGCUCAUUAGGGUGAAUAGCCCUGAUGAGCCGCAGUGAAUAGGCCCAGGCGACUGUUUAGCAAAAACACAGGUCUCUGCGAAGCCGCAAGGCGAAGUAUAGGGGCUGACGCCUGCCCGGUGCUGGAAGGUUAAGAGGAGAGGUUAGCGCAAGCGAAGCUUUGAAUCGAAGCCCCAGUAAACGGCGGCCGUAACUAUAACGGUCCUAAGGUAGCGAAAUUCCUUGUCGGGUAAGUUCCGACCCGCACGAAAGGCGUAACGAUCUGGGCACUGUCUCAACGAGAGACUCGGUGAAAUUAUAGUACCUGUGAAGAUGCAGGUUACCCGCGACAGGACGGAAAGACCCCGUGGAGCUUUACUGUAGCCUGAUAUUGAAUUUUGGUACAGCUUGUACAGGAUAGGUAGGAGCCGUAGAUGCCGGAGCGCCAGCUUCGGUGGAGGCGUCGGUGGGAUACUACCCUGGCUGUAUUGAAAUUCUAACCCGCGCCCCUUAUCGGGGCGGGAGACAGUGUCAGGUGGGCAGUUUGACUGGGGCGGUCGCCUCCUAAAAAGUAACGGAGGCGCCCAAAGGUUCCCUCAGAAUGGUUGGAAAUCAUUCGCAGAGUGUAAAGGCACAAGGGAGCUUGACUGCGAGACCUACAAGUCGAGCAG
rnacentral:rRNA from 2 species